UAAUACGAUGGGCUUGAUCUUAACCGAC
rnacentral:sRNA from 1 species